rnacentral:rRNA from 1 species
CCUACGGGGGGCUGCAGUGGGGAAUAUUGGACAAUGGGGGCAACCCUUAUCCAGCCAUGCCGCGUGUGUGAAGAAGGCCCUCGGGUUGUAAAGCACUUUCAGUGAGGAAGAACGCCUGGUGGUUAAUACCCAUCAGGAAAGACAUCACUCACAGAAGAAGCACCGGCUAACUCCGUGCCAGCAGCCGCGGUAAUACGGAGGGUGCGAGCGUUAAUCGGAAUUACUGGGCGUAAAGCGCGCGUAGGUGGCUUGAUAAGCCGGUUGUGAAAGCCCCGGGCUCAACCUGGGAACGGCAUCCGGAACUGUCAAGCUAGAGUGCAGGAGAGGAAGGUAGAAUUCCCGGUGUAGCGGUGAAAUGCGUAGAGAUCGGGAGGAAUACCAGUGGCGAAGGCGGCCUUCUGGACUGACACUGACACUGAGGUGCGAAAGCGUGGGUAGCAAACAGGAUUAGAUACCCCAGUAGUC